GCGAGCGGCGGACGGGUGAGUAACACGUGGGUAACCUGCCCAAGAGACUGGGAUAACACCUGGAAACAGAUGCUAAUACCGGAUAACAACACUAGACGCAUGUCUAGAGUUUGAAAGAUGGUUCUGCUAUCACUCUUGGAUGGACCUGCGGUGCAUUAGCUAGUUGGUAAGGUAACGGCUUACCAAGGCAAUGAUGCAUAGCCGAGUUGAGAGACUGAUCGGCCACAUUGGGACUGAGACACGGCCCAAACUCCUACGGGAGGCAGCAGUAGGGAAUCUUCCACAAUGGACGAAAGUCUGAUGGAGCAACGCCGCGUGAGUGAAGAAGGGUUUCGGCUCGUAAAGCUCUGUUGGUAGUGAAGAAAGAUAGAGGUAGUAACUGGCCUUUAUUUGACGGUAAUUACUUAGAAAGUCACGGCUAACUACGUGCCAGCAGCCGCGGUAAUACGUAGGUGGCAAGCGUUGUCCGGAUUUAUUGGGCGUAAAGCGAGUGCAGGCGGUUCAAUAAGUCUGAUGUGAAAGCCUUCGGCUCAACCGGAGAAUUGCAUCAG
rnacentral:rRNA from 1 species